rnacentral:rRNA from 1 species
AGAGUUUGAUCCUGGCUCAGGAUGAACGCUAGCGGCAGGCUUAAUACAUGCAAGUCAAGGGGGUAGCAAUACAACCGGCGCACGGGUGAGUAACGCGUACACAACAUACCAUAUACUGGAGUAUAGCUUUGGGAAACUGAAGGUAAUCCUCCAUAACAUUGCGAGAGGGCAUCUGAUUGCAAUUAAAGUUUCGGCGGUAUAUGAUUGGUGUGCGUUUGAUUAGCUAGUUGGUAGGGUAACGGCCUACCAAGGCGACGAUCAAUAGCUGGCGUGAGAGCGCGACCAGCCACACUGGAACUGAGACACGGUCCAGACUCCUACGGGAGGCAGCAGUAGGGAAUAUUGGACAAUGGAGGAAACUCUGAUCCAGCCAUGCCGCGUGAUAGAUGAAGGCCCUCUGGGUUGUAAAUAUCUUUUAUCUGGGAAGAAACACUCCUAUUCUUAGGAACUUGACGGUACCAGAGGAAUAAGCACCGGCUAACUCCGUG